GUGAGGGAAAGUUUAAAAGAACUCUGAAGAGAGAGUUAAAUAGUACGUGAAACCGGUUAGGUGGAAGCAUAUAGAGUUAUCAUAAGAUGGUAACAAUAGGUUGGUUAUGAUGUGCAAAAAGUUGUGCAAGUUUUGCCGUUCAUCGGUGAUCUUGCAUGAUUUUUUUGGUUGCAUUUUGGCCAAUUGAUUUGUUAUCCUUGCGCUGAAAUUAUUGAGUAUGCAUUGUUGCCUGUGUAAAUUAGAUGCCUUUGCCUUUGGGUAAAGUUACUUGAUUUACUUGUGCUGACAUUGUUAUGCUUAAUAAUUAUUUUUGGAUUAAAAAGCGAAUUGUGCUUUUAACUGACUGUGAAUUGGUGGUAUUGCAUGCAAUAUGCCAUUUGCUAGUUUGUUUAAUUGUACUUUUCAAUGUUUAAUCCUUUCAGUGUACUCGAUGACCACCUAUAUGUCCCGUCUUGAAACACGGACCAAGGAGUUUAUCGUAUAUGCGAGUCAUUGUCUGUAAAAAAGAUAUUGGCGUAAUGAAAGUGAUUUCAUUUUCAUGUGAUCCGGUGUUCAAAAACCGGCGCAACAUGAUCCCAUAUUAAUGGCUUGCCAUGGUGUGGAGAUUGAGCAUAUGCGAUGAGACCCGAAAGAUGGUGAACUAUGCCUGGGCAGGAUGAAGCCGGAGGAAACUCUGGUGGAAGUCCGAAGCGGUUCUGACGUGCAAAUCGAUCGUCUGACCUGGG
rnacentral:rRNA from 1 species